rnacentral:lncRNA from 1 species
UGUAACUUGGAAUUCUAGCAAGAAAGCCACGCUCAUCUGGGGAGAGGAGGAAGUAGACCAUCUGCACAAGUUGAGGGCAGUGUCUGCUUCCCAGAAUUUCUGCUUCUGCCUCUGACAGGGAGCCAUGACUCCUUCCUUCCCCACACCUCUUAAGGGCAGCAGCAAAGGACUGAAAGAGGGAGCAGGGACCAGUAAAGCAGUAAGACAGUAGAGAUCCAUAAGGCAAAUGGUGGACCACUGGAGGGAAAGACCAUACCCCAGUUAUCUCCCAUGCCACGUGCCCUAGGGAAAAACACCAGUUGUUUGCUUUAGUUAUAGCUUUGUCACUAUACUAUUCCUCCCAGCCUCGGACAGCCUCUCCCCAUACACAUAGUCUGCCCAUUCUUGUUACAUGCUCCUCUCACCACCAGAUCUGGCUAAAUGAUGCUGAGUAGAUCAGAUUCCUAACCACUGACCAGCUCCAGUGCUGUGAGCCUCCCCAGAGCACCUUAGACACACUCUCUCUGUCUCUGUCUCUCUAUCACUAUUCUCUCUCCACCUAUCCCACCCAGGCCGAAAGCAUAGUGGCUACUCAUAGUCCAACCUCACUGCUGAUUGGCUCAGAAGCUUUAAUUUGCUUCAUUUCUGACCUUAGCUAAUUUACCUCCUCUUUAGGCAGCCUAGUAGCUCCUCCUCCCCUAUCCCCAUUGUCAGAAGUCCAUCAUAUUGAUGCCAGAUGGUGAAGAUACCUGAUUGGCUCAGUCUUCUGUGAUUCAGAAUGCCCCAACCCAAGUGAUCAACCAGCCUCCACCUCCCCAGACACAGGAACUACAGGCAUGGGUCUCUGUGAUUCACAGAACCAAGGACACUCUUACAUGCCUCUUCUACCUCCAGGCUGUACAGAGCCCUCAUUCUACUGGGUUCUAUUCUCUGCCUCCCAUUGAGAUCUCCAGGUCCCAAGACUAUGGUCUUCUAAUUGAAACAGUGACCUGGAGAAACUUCUGGUGCUCUAGACCUAUCUUAUCAAUCAGUCCAAGGCAUAGCCUUGUCAGACAGAAUGACUAAGGAUUAAAGCAACUAAUACCCACAGAACCAGAGCAAACAUAUCAUUCAUUGAUUGCUGGGCAAUUUGAGGCUAAUAUAAGAAAGGCUGGCUCUUUGGUUGAGGUGCCAUGUCUAUAAAGGUAAGUUUGUACCACUUAUCUCUCCACGGGGAUGGUGGCUUACUAAUAUUGCCUAAUGACAAGGGAUAUUGCCAGAUAUUAAAUGCAGUAGAGGCAUUCAGCUUCAGUCAUCCAAAGUAACAUUUGGCAAUUAAGAGGCCUUAAAAGAAAACUGAAAGAGAG